rnacentral:rRNA from 1 species
CCUACGGGGUGCAGCAGUGAGGAAUAUUGGUCAAUGGGCGUAAGCCUGAACCAGCCAAGUCGCGUGAGGGAUGAAGGUUCUAUGGAUCGUAAACCUCUUUUAUAAGGGAAUAAAGUGUGGGACGUGUCCUGUUUUGUAUGUACCUUAUGAAUAAGGAUCGGUUAACUCCGUGCCAGCAGCCGCGGUAAUACGGAGGAUCCGAGCGUUAUCCGGAUUUAUUGGGUUUAAAGGGUGCGUAGGCGGCCUUUUAAGUCAGCGGUGAAAGUCUGUGGCUCAACCAUAGAAUUGCCGUUGAAACUGGGAGGCUUGAGUAUGUUUGAGGCAGGCGGAAUGCGUGGUGUAGCGGUGAAAUGCUUAGAUAUCACGCAGAACCCCGAGUGCGAAGGCAGCCUGCCAAGCCAUGACUGACGCUGAUGCACGAAAGCGUGGGGAUCAAACAGGAUUAGAUACCCUAGUAGUC